rnacentral:rRNA from 1 species
AACGAACGCUGGCGGCAGGCUUAACACAUGCAAGUCGAACGGGUGUAGCAAUACAUCAGUGGCAGACGGGUGAGUAACACGUGGGAACCUUCCUCGUUGUACGGAACAACUCAGGGAAACUUGAGCUAAUACCGUAUACGUCCGAGAGGAGAAAGAUUUAUCGCAAUGAGACGGGCCCGCGUCGGAUUAGCUAGUUGGUGGGGUAACGGCCUACCAAGGCGACGAUCCGUAGCUGAUCUGAGAGGAUGAUCAGCCACACUGGGACUGAGACACGGCCCAGACUCCUACGGGAGGCAGCAGUGGGGAAUCUUGGACAAUGGGCGCAAGCCUGAUCCAGCCAUGCCGCGUGAGUGAAAAAGGCCUUAGGGUUGUAAAGCUCUUUUGCCAGGGACGAUAAUGACGGUACCGUAAGAAUAAGCACCGGCUAACUACGUGCCAGCAGCCGCGGUAACAC